UCCUUCCUUGUCAUGGGGAGCAUAAUACUCAAUGAACGUUUAGUGAGAGUAUUGAUGCUGACACCAUUGAUAUUUUAAAACCCCUAUACGUUUAAAGUAUUUUAAAUGUAUGGAAUUUUUGGACAG